ACAAAGCAGGGGCGCCGGAAUGACUCGUGCCCUCUUCCUAGAACAGGAGCUCGCAGCUGCGUUCCCGACCUGGCUGCCCCGCGCUGGCCGGCGUCCUCCACACCCCCGGACCCUCGGAAACCGCUGCUGUCUGACGGCGCGUCGGGCUUCGGAACAGACCGAACUUCGACAGCCCGGGAUGGCCGCGCCUUGGGCGACUCUCCGGCACAGCUGAGCUUUGGGAACGCCGUCCGAGGGUCAUCUCUCCAGACUCAAACCUGCAGACCCUCCAGAACCUGCUUCCACCCACCGUGAACUCCCUGAAAGUCCAGCCCAUCGUGGACACCAGACUCCGAUUUACUCGACAUGAACUUCAGGACCGUGAGCGUUGCUGCGCCGUGGAAUAGGGACAGCUUGCUGUUCUUGCGCUUCUGCCUCACUCAGCAACGCCCGGACUGGAGAUUGACCAACAGCUGGGCACCGUGGCCCGGCCGAGUGGACGCGCAGAACUGGCCAUCGCAGGGGCUACCUGCGUGUUCCUUGCAUCACUGUGUUAAAUUUUCGAUAAAGAUAUUUAUCCGCCAGAAGUCACCGUAAUGAAAGUCAAGCCGCUAAUCAGGAGACGGUAUUUAUCGUACGUAUGAAGACGCCUAAAGAGACUCCAUCACGGGUGGAGGGAAAACGUAGGGACAGAUGGUGUCCGCCCACCCAGCAACACGUAAGAACUUCCCCACAAAUCAGCAGGAAAAGGGAUGUGGCCCAGUGUGGCCAGGGGCGGGAGACACAGACAGGCAUUUCCCAGAACAGGACACAAAAAUAGGGAAGAGAAAUCAAAACUGUACUGCAGGAACAUUUGACACCCCCCGGACAGGCCGGAGAUUCCCACUGGGGGCCGGUUCGCAUCCCGGCCGGCGCACAGCUGGUCAGUGCCGUAGGCCCCGCGCACGGAGGGCGUGUCCCGGGACGCCUGGAACCGUGGGUAGCACUGAACCCUAUAGAUGUUAGUAGUACGUUUUUUCCUACACCUGUGAUGACAUCUAAUUUAUAAACUGGGGCACCACAAUAAUUAAUGAUAAAAUUGAACAAUUAUAACAGUACACUAUAAUAAAUGCAAAUGUGAUGUAUCUCUCUCAAAAUGUCUUGUUGUACUCACCUGUUUUCAGGCCACAGGUGACCGCAGGUUGCUGAAACCAUGGAGAGCGCUGUCGUGCUGGGGACCACUGUACACACACUGGGCGAGCGCUUUCGUGCUGCCCAGUGGAGCGGCCUGUGCACACGCAGGGAGUCAGCGAUCCCCCUCCAGCUGCAAGCCCCAACGCAGAGCUUCUCAACCCGUGAGCCGCUGCCCACCAAGCAGGGUCUCGACGUCAGGCGGUAGCGAAGUUGCAGCUGUAGUUUCAGAUGUUCCUAGUUGGGGCAAAUCAAUGCCGCUUUCGCACCUGCGAGCAACCACUUAGCCAGUGAACACCUGUUUUUGUGGCUGUUGUGCUGAGUCCAUCCCAGCCAUGCAGGUAGCUCGCUCUCACCCGGGAGGGGACAGUAGCACAGUCUCGCACGGGGAUUACAUGCACACGCUGGCUCUCAGCCAUAAUUUAGUCCAAAUGGACCUUGGCCACUUCUCCCGCCCACAGGACACGGUGCGGAUGGGCCCCGGAGAGGAGGAGGUUGCAGGCUGCUUUGGUAAGAGCCGCGUGCAGCAGAGUGAGAAGCAAAACCCAUGCAAACGGAGACUUGUGUGUCCUCGUGCAGUUCCUCUCUGGGGUACAGAGAGCUCAGGCAGGUCCCUCCACGGAGAAGGACCAGUGGCUGCACCUUGGGUUGUCUGUGCACAGCACUUCUUGGAGGAAACAAAACUCCCUUUGGCUGUGUGUGCUACCUGUACCCAGGUGGCCCAAUGGGUGGCCUGCUUUGAGCAGGAGGCAGAGUGAGCAGAAGGCCCAAGGGUGCAGGCCUUGCUGUGGGCAGGCUGAGCCACCCGGCUGUUGUGACCCGGGGACUCAAUGGUCCCAGCGGUGCCUGAACAAGCAGGGUCCCCAUGGAGCCUGCGGCAGGCCAUGAUGGAGAAUCGCAGUGCCCGCUCGAGUCUGGGGGCAGGUGGAGGCUGAGCCCUGUCUGCCAGGCAGCAGGUGUGACCUGGGCCGGGCAGGCCAGGUGCUCUGUUGCCAGGUGAGGGUGGGUAACUGGACUCUAAUAAGGUUCCUGCAGCCCGUGGCAGGCAGGCGUCUCCUCCUGGUGACUCGGUGCUGCCCGGCGGCAGGCACGGGGUAGGAAGGAGCCGCCAUGGGCCCAAACACACAGACUCGGCCUUACCGAGCCCCCUGUCACCCACAACUGGACAGUGACUUGUCAUCGCACAACUCUGGGCCCCAGCGUGGUCCCGUGCUGCACGGGGGCCAGUCACGACCUGGCCCCGGGCUGACUGGCGCCUUCGUCGUGGACAGGGAAGUGGUUUUCUUGCUGCCCUCGGCACUUCUCGGUUCGGAUUUGCUUCCGCAGCUGGAGCCGCUUCUGCCGGCACCGGCCUUUCCUUAGCGAAGCCUGUCCCCGUCUGACCCGUUUCCCGGCCAAGGAACUGACCUUACGGCCGCAAGAAUGGGCGGCAGGAUGAUGCCGUGGGCUCCGCAGGGUGUCCCUUGACCCUGGGAGAAGGGCUCUGGCUUCUCAGGACCACUUAGGACGGCUGGAGACACCGUCACCAGAAUGUCGUGUCCUGCAGGACCUCAUGAGUGUACAGCUUCCACCUCACCGGGAUGCGCAGGUGGGGGCCCGCGGGCGGCAGUGAAGGCAACACGUCUGCAGCCCCCGCUGCCAAGACUUCCACAGAGUUUCGCCUCUUGGCCCCGCAGGUCCUGCUGUCCUGGUUUGGGGACUUCAGCAGUGACAAGGGGAUGCUUUGAGCCGAGGCCAGACACCAAUAUCAUUGAGCUGGACACGUGGGUGCCACCUGGCCAUCGUGGGCUCCUCUGCCGUCAGGGAGGCCGCGGUGCCGGCCGGGGCAAUCCUGAAAGAGGAAAUAGGGCAUUGUGACUCAACGUGGUCCCCUCGCCCCACCGCGUCUGGGGGCGAGGGUUGGCGGGGGCCCCGGCGACAGGCCCUGCAAGGACUUGCAUCCUGAGCAGCCCAGAGAAGCGGCGCGGGCAGGCGUGGACAGGAGCGGCGACCUCAGCACCCACCGCGGAGGUGAGCGUCCUGCACCUGCUGAAGUUUCCUCUCUCGUGUGGGGUGCGAGCACGCACAGGAGUUAGUGGCCUCCUCCCUGCACGCUUGUGCUCCUCCAGCACCUGCCUCAUGGGCUGCAGGACAGUGAGGUCCCCGCGGGGGACGCCCACAGCCGGAGACCCCAGAACCUGCGAGGCUUUGGGGGCGAGGCCUGUCAUUUGCACUUGUCGGGGUGCUUUGUUGGGGGGCACUCUUGAUUUUGGAAGCAUGUGUGGGAAUCAUCGUGAGUGUCGUUGUCAAGACGGGGCUGGGGUGCGCCGGGCUGUCAUAAGACAGUCCUGAUUUUGGGGAACCCCGUGUGGUCCUGGUGGGGGCAGGGCCGCACCCCCUGCUGUGGGAGUUCAAAGGGCCCUGACACCCCUUGGCUUUCGCCAGCUACACUGAGGCCUCGGCCUAGGCUGGGCCAACUUGGUUCCACCCAGGAGUUAGGACUUUGAGCGAAUUGUGCAAACAUUUAGGGACAGUUAGAGCUAAUUCGCCAUAAGGUGGCUUGAAUGUCCAGUGGGAGUGGCUGCGGCAGGCAGAAUCUCUAAAACGCUGCCCUUUUCCCUGCGAAUGUCCUGCCCUAAUCCCUGGAUUGUGGUAAAUAUGGUAAGAUUCCUCCUUCAGAAA